CGAGCCGACCGGGCGGCCGCGGCGGGUCGGCGUCGUACGCCGACUCGUCGAGGAAGGUCCGGACUCCGCAGGGCAAGGUGGUGGGUAACGCCCACCCGGGGUAACCCGCGGGACAGUGCCACAGAGACAGACCGCCAGCGGCUCCGGCUCUGCCGGAGUGCGGGUAAGGGUGAAACGGUGGUGUAAGAGACCACCAGCGCGCCGGGUGACCGGAGCGGCUGGGUAAACCCCACCUGGAGCAAGACCAAGAAGGGCGCAGAAGCUUCGGUUUCGGUGCCUGCGCAGAUGCUGGGGCCUCGGCUCCGAGAGGGCUGCCCGCCCGAGUCUGCAGGUAGGUCGCACGAACGUGUCGGCAACGAUGCGUCCAGAUGGAUGGCUGCUCAGGGCGGGGCCCGUGAGGACCCGCUCCUAACAGAAUCCGGCCUAUGAGUCGGCUCGCCCG
rnacentral:RNase_P_RNA from 1 species